CUGCGAAUACCGGAGAAUGUUAUCACGGGAGACACACGGCGGGUGCUAACGUCCGUCGUGAAGAGGGAAACAACCCAGACCGCCAGCUAAGGUCCCAAAGUCAUGGUUAAGUGGGAAACGAUGUGGGAAGGCCCAGACAGCCAGGAUGUUGGCUUAGAAGCAGCCAUCAUUUAAAGAAAGCGUAAUAGCUCACUGGUCGAGUCGGCCUGCGCGGAAGAUGUAACGGGGCUAAACCAUGCACCGAAGCUGCGGCAGCGAACGUAUCACCCAAGACAACUUUACGGAGUUGACGAUUGACGGAGCGAAGCGACGUCAAAGCGUUCAUUAAAGUCGAGUUGGCUUAGGGAUACGUUCGUUGGGUAGGGGAGCGUUCUGUAAGCCUGUGAAGGUGGCCUGUGAGGGUUGCUGGAGGUAUCAGAAGUGCGAAUGCUGACAUAAGUAACGAUAAAGCGGGUGAAAAGCCCGCUCGCCGGAAGACCAAGGGUUCCUGUCCAACGUUAAUCGGGGCAGGGUGAGUCGACCCCUAAGGCGAGGCCGAAAGGCGUAGUCGAUGGGAAACGGGUUAAUAUUCCCGUACUUGGUGUUACUGCGAAGGGGGGACGGAGAAGGCUAUGUUGGCCGGGCGACGGUUGUCCCGGUUUAAGCGUGUAGGUGUGUGUUCCAGGUAAAUCCGGUUCACUUUAACACUGAGGCGUGAUGACGAGGCACUACGGUGCUGAAGCAACAAAUGCCCUGCUUCCAGGAAAAGCCUCUAAGCAUCAGGUAACAUCAAAUCGUACCCCAAACCGACACAGGUGGUCAGGUAGAGAAUACCAAGGCGCUUGAGAGAACUCGGGUGAAGGAACUAGGCAAAAUGGUGCCGUAACUUCGGGAGAAGGCACGCUGACACGUAGGUGAAGUGAUUUACUCA
rnacentral:rRNA from 1 species